AACGAACGCUGGCGGCAUGCCUAACACAUGCAAGUCGAACGAGACCUUCGGGUCUAGUGGCGCACGGGUGCGUAACGCGUGGGAAUCUGCCCUUGGGUUCGGGAUAACAGUUGGAAACGACUGCUAAUACCGGAUGAUGACUUCGGUCCAAAGAUUUAUCGCCCAGGGAUGAGCCCGCGUCGGAUUAGCUAGUUGGUGAGGUAAGAGCUCACCAAGGCGACGAUCCGUAGCUGGUCUGAGAGGAUGAUCAGCCACACUGGGACUGAGACACGGCCCAGACUCCUACGGGAGGCAGCAGUGGGGAAUAUUGGACAAUGGGCGAAAGCCUGGUCCAGCAAUGCCGCGUGAGUGAUGAAGGCCUUAGGGUUGUAAAGCUCUUUUACCCGGGAUGAUAAUGACAGUACCGGGAGAAUAAGCCCCGGCUAACUCCGUG
rnacentral:rRNA from 1 species